UACAGAGGGUGCGAGCGUUGUUCGGAAUUAUUGGGCGUAAAGAGCUUGUAGGCGGUUUGUCGCGUCUGCCGUGAAAAUCCGGGGCUCAACCCCGGACUUGCGGUGGGUACGGGCAGACUAGAGUGUGGUAGGGGAGACUGGAAUUCCUGGUGUAGCGGUGAAAUGCGCAGAUAUCAGGAGGAACACCGGUGGCGAAGGCGGAUCUCUGGGCCAUUACUGACGCUGAGGAGCGAAAGCGUGGGGAGCGAACAGG
rnacentral:rRNA from 1 species